AAGGCAGCAGGCACGCAAAUUACCCACUCCCGGCACGGGGAGGUAGUGACAAAAAAUAACGAUACGGGACUCAUCCGAGGCCCCGUAAUCGGAAUGAGUACACUUUAAAUCCUUUAACAAGGAUCCAAUGGAGGGCAAGUCUGGUGCCAGCAGCCGCGGUAAUUCCAGCUCCAUUAGCGUAUAUUAAAGUUGUUGCGGUUAAAAAGCUCGUAGUUGGUUCUGCGUCCCACGAUGCUGGUUCACCGCCUGACGGUGCAACUGGCAUGCCGUGGGAUGUCCUGUCGGUGGUGGCCUUGGCCCACGGCGCGUGUAGGUACAUACCGAAGCACGUCGUGUGUCGCCAAGGAUCGCCGAUCCAAUCCUGCCUCGGUGCUUUUUAUCGAGUGUCGAGGUGGGCCGACACGUUUACUUUGAACAAAUUAGAGUGCUCAAAGCAGGCUAAUUAUGCCUGGAUAUUGGUGCAUGGAAUAAUGGAAUAGGACCUCGGUUCUAUUUUGUUGGUUUUCGGAAUCCGAGGUAAUGAUCAAUAUGGACAGGCGGGGGCAUUCGUAUUGCGACGUUAGAGGUGAAAUUCUUGGAUCGUCGCAAGACGGACUAGAGCGAAAGCAUUUGCCAAGUAUGUCUUAGUUGAUCAAGAACGAAAGUUAGAGGUUCGAAGGCGAUCAGAUACCGCCCUAGUUCUAACCAUAAACGAUGCCAGCCAGCGAUCCGCCGAUGUUCCUCCGAUGACUCGG
rnacentral:rRNA from 4 species